rnacentral:lncRNA from 1 species
CAACAUAGAGUAAGCACAUCAGUGAGUCAGACGUCAGGGCUCUUGAAAUGUAGAUCUCAUUUUGUCUUCCUGUCAGUCCUAUGAAAGGGGCUUGUUUUACAGAUAAAGAAACAAAUGGUCAAGGUAAACAGGACGCAUUAGGACUACCUGCCAGUUUUAUUUGGACUCGUGUUCUCUACCACGGGAGCAGGUUCUUCUCCACCCUCGGUCUCGGUCUCUUCAGUUGUGCCUUAGCAUCUCUCUCAGGGUCUCUGUACCUACUGUCCCCUCUUUGGUCCCUCUGCCAUCAUUCUGAACCUUCCAGAUGGAAUGACCUUUUAAGGCCCUAAUCUGAACCUACUUCUUUCCUGCCCAACUUUCUUCAGUUGCCCUUCGUUGCCCUUGGGAUUAAGCACACCGUCCUUGGCAGGGCAGGACGGUCCUGGGGGAUGAACCAGCCCAUCCUGCCGCCUUCUUCUCUUAUUCCUGCUCCUUUCCCCACACGUCCCCUGGGCGGGCACAGGCUUCCACAGCACUGCUAAGAAUGGGAUGGUCUUUUUUCAAAAUUCUUCUUUCUCUAUGAGCAAACCACUGUUAAAAGUAUCCGGCUUCCCCUGUGGAUCGUCAAGGGCUCAAGAAAGGGCUGUUGGACCUUCUCAUGGGAACGCUGUUGGAUGGCAGGCUCAUUCCAACCAGAUACUGCUACAGCUCUUCAAAACACAAAUGCAGCCAGGCAGUGCACACCUGUAAUCCCAGUGGUUUGGGAGGCUGAGGCAGGAGGAUCAUGAGUUCAAAGCCAGCCUCAGCAAUGGUGAGGCACUAAGCAGCAACUCAGUGAGACCCUGUCUCUAAAUAAAAUAGGAAAUCGGGUUGGGGAUGUGACUCAGUGGUCGAGUACCCUGAGUUCAAUCCCCAGUACCAAAACAAAACAAAACAAAACCAACCACAUAAUUGCAUAAUGUAAGGUAAACCCGGUUUUCCAGCUGUGCUGAGCUCUCAGAUCCAGUUUGUUCUUGAAGGACUCUAUUGACUUUGGAGUGUGAUCUGGCAGCAUCACACGACAGAACGUCAUUCCUCACUGUAGUCCCUAGAGAACUCUUGCGUGCAGGGGAGAAAUAUAGCAUUUGCAACAAUAAAAAUGCAGAUCAACGAAAUGUCCAUCCUCAGGAGAAUGGCCGGAAACUCGUGCAAAGAGCCUUCCACAGGUGUGAAGGUAAGUGAACUGGCGCCACGUGUCGGAAGAGCAGUGGGUCUCAGUAAGAUGAUGGCAAGCAUAAGAGCAGUCUCGAAGGGCAGCUGCAAUGGGAUGUCAUUGAAAAAUGCCAUAUUCUUGCCUGACAGUGUCCCUGUAGGACACUGAUGGAAUACUAAGAGAAGCACCCUCCACAGUAAUGGCAGGGCUCGGGGCUUGCUGAAUGCCACAAAUUCCUCCCAUCCUGUUAUGCACCCCCCUUUGAUGUUCCUGCCAUCUGGAAGUGGGAUCUAUCCCCCCUUUUUUCCUUUUUAUUAUUUUUUCAUUUAUUUUUUAAAUACAUGACAAUAGUGG